rnacentral:rRNA from 1 species
UACGUAGGGUGCGAGCGUUGUCCGGAAUUAUUGGGCGUAAAGAGCUUGUAGGCGGUCUGUCGCGUCUGCUGUGAAAAUCCGGGGCUCAACCCCGGACUUGCAGUGGGUACGGGCAGACUAGAGUGUGGUAGGGGAGACUGGAAUUCUCGGUGUAGCGGUGAAAUGCGUAGAUAUCGAGAGGAACACCUGCGGCGAAGGCGGGUUGCUGGGCUGACACUGACGCUGAUGCGCGAAAGCGUGGGUAGCAAACAGG